rnacentral:rRNA from 1 species
UCGAGCGGACAGAUGGGAGCUUGCUCCCUGAUGUUAGCGGCGGACGGGUGAGUAACACGUGGGUAACCUGCCUGUAAGACUGGGAUAACUCCGGGAAACCGGGGCUAAUACCGGAUGCUUGAUUGAACCGCAGGGUUCAAUUAUAAAAGGUGGCUUUUAGCUACCACUUACAGAUGGACCCGCGGCGCAUUAGCUAGUUGGUGAGGUAACGGCUCACCAAGGCAACGAUGCGUAGCCRACCUGAGAGGGUGAUCGGCCACACUGGGACUGAGACACGGCCCAGACUCCUACGGGAGGCARCAGUAGGGAAUCUUCCGCAAUGGACGAAAGUCUGACGGAGCAACGCCGCGUGAGUGAUGAAGGUUUUCGGAUCGUAAAACUCUGUUGUUAGGGAAGAACAAGUACCGUUCGAAUAGGGCGGUACCUUGACGGUACCUAACCAGAAAGCCACGGCUAACUACGUGCCAGCAGCCGCGGUAAUACGUAGGUGGCAAGCGUUGUCCGGAAUUAUUGGGCGUAAAGCGCGCGCAGGCGGUUUCUUAAGUCUGAUGUGAAAGCCCCCGGCUCAACCGGGGAGGGUCAUUGGAAACUGGGGAACUUGAGUGCAGAAGAGGAGAGUGGAAUUCCACGUGUAGCGGUGAAAUGCGUAGAGAUGUGGAGGAACACCAGUGGCGAAGGCGACUCUCUGGUCUGUAACUGACGCUGAGGCGCGAAAGCGUGGGGAGCGAACAGGAUUAGAUACCCUGGUAGUCCACGCCGUAAACGAUGAGUGCUAAGUGUUAGAGGGUUUCCGCCCUUUAGUGCUGCAGCAAACGCAUUAAGCACUCCGCCUGGGGAGUACGGUCGCAAGACUGAAACUCAAAGGAAUUGACGGGGGCCCGCACAAGCGGUGGAGCAUGUGG